ACACAUGUCAUUUUCUUGUGUGAU
rnacentral:siRNA from 1 species